rnacentral:rRNA from 1 species
CGGGUGAGUAAUGUCUGGCAAACUGUCUGAUGGAGGGGGAUAACUACUGGAAACGGUAGCUAAUACCGCAUAACGUCGCAAGACCAAAGAGGGGGACCUUAGGGCCUCUUGCCAUCGGAUGUGCCCAGAUGGGAUUAGCUAGUAGGUGGGGUAACGGCUCACCUAGGCGACGAUCCCUAGCUGGUCUGAGAGGAUGACCAGCCACACUGGAACUGAGACACGGUCCAUACUCCUACGGGAGGCAGCAGUGGGGAAUAUUGCACAAUGGGCGCAAGCCUGAUGCAGCCAUGCCGCGUGUAUGAAGAAGGCCUUCGGGUUGUAAAGUACUUUCAGCGGGGAGGAAGGGAGUAAAGUUAAUACCUUUGCUCAUUGACGUUACCCGCAGAAGAAGCACCGGCUAACUCCGUGCCAGCAGCCGCGGUAAUACGGAGGGUGCAAGCGUUAAUCGGAAUUACUGGGCGUAAAGCGCACGCAGGCGGUUUGUUAAGUCAGAUGUGAAAUCCCCGGGCUCAACCUGGGAACUGCAUCUGAUACUGGCAAGCUUGAGUCUCGUAGAGGGGGGUAGAAUUCCAGGUGUAGCGGUGAAAUGCGUAGAGAUCUGGAGGAAUACCGGUGGCGAAGGCGGCCCCCUGGACGAAGACUGACGCUCAGGUGCGAAAGCGUGGGGAGCAAACAGGAUUAGAUACCCU